rnacentral:rRNA from 1 species
AAUGGGCGAAAGCCUGACGCAGCGACGCCGCGUGGGUGAAGAAGGCCUUCGGGUUGUAAAGCCCUGUCAAAGAGAAAGAAUUCUUUCGAAAAUAAUAAGUUCGAAAGUUGACGGUACUCUUGGAGGAAGCACCGGCUAACCACGUGCCAGCAGCCGCGGUAAUACGUGGGGUGCAAGCGUUGUUCGGAAUUACUGGGCGUAAAGCGCGUGUAGGCGGUCAGGUGUGUCAGGUGUGAAAUACCUUGGCUUAACCAAGGAACUGCGCCUGAAACUGCUUGGCUAGAGUUUGGGAGAGGAGGGUGGAAUUUCCAGUGUAGAGGUGAAAUUCGUAGAUAUUGGAAGGAACACCGGUAGCGAAGGCGACUCUCUGGACCAAAACUGACGCUGAGACGCGAAAGCAUGGGUAGCAAA